rnacentral:rRNA from 1 species
GACGAACGCUGGCGGCGUGCUUAACACAUGCAAGUCGAACGGAAAGGCCCUGCUUUUGUUGGGUGCUCGAGUGGCGAACGGGUGAGUAACACGUGAGUAACCUGCCCUUGACUUUGGGAUAACUUCAGGAAACUGGGGCUAAUACCGGAUAGGAGCUCCUGCUGCAUGGUGGGGGUUGGACAGUUUCGGCGGUUGGGGAUGGACUCGCGGCUUAUCAGCUUGUUGGUGGGGUAGUGGCUUACCAAGGCUUUGACGGGUAGCCGGCCUGAGAGGGUGACCGGGCACCUGGGGACUGAGGUACGGACCAGUGUGCAACGGGAGACAGCAGGGGCAAAUAUUGCACAAUGGGCGGAAGCGUGAGGCAGCAACGCCGCGUGCGGGAUGAGGGCCUUCGGGUUGUGAACCGCUUUCGCCUGUGACGAAGCGUGAGUGACGGUAAUGGGUAAAGAAGCACCGGCUAACUACGUG